GACGAACGCUGGCGGCGUGCUUAACACAUGCAAGUCGAACGGAGUGGCGAACGGGGGAGUAACACGUGGGUGACCUGCCCUGCACCUCGGGAUAAGGCUGGGAAACUGGGUCUAAUACCGGAUAGUGGGGGAUGGUCCCGGGGCCUAUCCGCUGGUUGGUGGGGUAAUGGCCUACCAAGGCGGCGACGGGUAGCCGGCCUGAGAGGGUGGCCGGCCACAUGUGGACGGAGACACGGCCCAGACUCCUACGGGCGGCAGCAGUGGGGAAUAUUGCACAAUGGGGGGACGUCUGAUGCAGCGACUCCGCGUGGGGGAUGACGUCCUUCGGGUUGUAAACUCCUUUCACCAUCGACGCGGUAGAUGGAGAGGAAGCACCGGCUAACUACGUGCCAGCAGCCGCGGUAAUAC
rnacentral:rRNA from 1 species